AGAGUUUGAUCAUGGCUCAGGACGAACGCUGGCGGCGUGCUUAACACAUGCAAGUCGAGCGGUAAGGCCCUUCGGGGUACACGAGCGGCGAACGGGUGAGUAACACGUGGGUGAUCUGCCUCGUACUCUGGGAUAAGCCUGGGAAACUGGGUCUAAUACCGGAUAUGACCGCGCACUGCAUGGUGUGUGGUGGAAAGAUU
rnacentral:rRNA from 1 species